UACGUAGGGGGCAAGCGUUGUCCGGAAUCAUUGGGCGUAAAGAGCGUGUAGGCGGCCAGAUAAGUCCGCUGUGAAAUCUCGAGGCUCAACUUCGAGCUGUCGGUGGAAACUGUCUGGCUAGAGUCCGGAAGAGGAGAAUGGAAUUCCUGGUGUAGCGGUGAAAUGCGCAGAUAUCAGGAAGAACACCCCGUGGCGAAGGCGGUUCUCUGGGACGGUACUGACGCUGAGACGCGAAAGCGUGGGGAGCGAACAGGAUAGAA
rnacentral:rRNA from 1 species